GGGUCUGUAGCUCAGUUGGUUAGAGCACACGCUUGAUAAGCGUGGGGUCACAAGU
rnacentral:tRNA from 1 species